rnacentral:tRNA from 1 species
GUGGGUAUAGCUCAGUUGGUUAGAGCGCCAGGUUGUGGCCCUGGAGGUCGUGGGUUCAAAUCCCGUUACUCACC